rnacentral:rRNA from 1 species
GACGUAGGAGGCUAGCGUUAUCCGGAUUUACUGGGCGUAAAGCGCACGCAGGCGGUCGCGUAAGUCGGACGUGAAAGCUCCUGGCUCAACUGGGAGAAGUCGUUCGAUACUGCGUGACUUGAGGUUGGGAGAGGAGAGCGGAAUUCCCGGUGUAGUGGUGGAAUGCGUAGAUAUCGGGAGGAACACCAGUGGCGAAAGCGGCUCUCUGGCCCACACCUGACGCUCAGGUGCGAAAGCGUGGGUAGCGAACGGG